AGAGUUUGAUCAUGGCUCAGAUUGAACGCUGGCGGCAUGCUUUACACAUGCAAGUCGAACGGUAACGCGGGGGCAACCCUGGCGACGAGUGGCGAACGGGUGAGUAAUACAUCGGAACAUAUCCAGUAGCGGGGGAUAACCUAUCGAAAGAUGGACUAAUACCGCAUACGAUCUACGGAUGAAAGCAGGGGACCGCAAGGCCUUGCACUAUUGGAGUGGCCGAUGUCGGAUUAGCUAGUUGGUGAGGUAAAGGCUUACCAAGGCGACGAUCCGUAGCUGGUCUGAGAGGACGAUCAGCCACACUGGAACUGAGACACGGUCCAGACUCCUACGGGAGGCAGCAGUGGGGAAUUUUGGACAAUGGGCGCAAGCCUGAUCCAGCCAUGCCGCGUGAGUGAAGAAGGCCUUCGGGUUGUAAAGCUCUUUCGGUGAAGACGAAACGGUUCGUGCUAAUAACGCGGACUAAUGACGGUACUCACAGAAGAAGCACCGGCUAACUACGUGCCAGCAGCCGCGGUAAUACGUAGGGUGCAGGCGUUAAUCGGAAUUACUGGGCGUAAAGCGUGCGCAGGCGGUUUGCUAAGACAGGUGUGAAAUGCCCGGGCUUAACCUGGGAAUUGCGCUUGUAACUGGCAAGCUAGAGUGUGGCAGAGGGGGGUAGAAUUCCACGUGUAGCAGUGAAAUGCGUAGAUAUGUGGAGGAAUACCGAUGGCGAAGGCAGCCCCCUGGGUUAACACUGACGCUCAUGCACGAAAGCGUGGGGAGCAAACAGGAUUAGAUACCCUGGUAGUCCACGCCCUAAACUAUGUCAACUAGUUGUCGGGGAAGAAAUUCCUUGGUAACGAAGCUAACGCGUGAAGUUGACCGCCUGGGGAGUACGGCCGCAAGGUUAAAACUCAAAGGAAUUGACGGGGACCCGCACAAGCGGUGGAUUAUGUGGAUUAAUUCGAUGCAACGCGAAAAACCUUACCUACCCUUGACAUGCUAGGAAGCCCGCAGAGAUGUGGGUGUGCCCGAAAGGGAACCUAAACACAGGUGCUGCAUGGCUGUCGUCAGCUCGUGUCGUGAGAUGUUGGGUUAAGUCCCGCAACGAGCGCAACCCUUGUCAUUAGUUGCUACGAAAGGGCACUCUAAUGAGACUGCCGGUGACAAACCGGAGGAAGGUGGGGAUGACGUCAAGUCCUCAUGGCCCUUAUGGGUAGGGCUUCACACGUCAUACAAUGGUACAUACAGAGGGCCGCCAACCCGCGAGGGGGAGCUAAUCCCAGAAAGUGUAUCGUAGUCCGGAUUGUAGUCUGCAACUCGACUACAUGAAGUUGGAAUCGCUAGUAAUCGCGGAUCAGCAUGUCGCGGUGAAUACGUUCCCGGGUCUUGUACACACCGCCCGUCACACCAUGGGAGCGGGUUUCACCAGAAGUGGGUAGCCUAACCGCAAGGAGGGCGCUCACCACGGUGGGAUUCGUGACUGGGGUGAAGUCGUAACAAGGUA
rnacentral:rRNA from 1 species